ACCAUUCACUGUCAUUCUUAUCCUCUGUUCCAGCAGGAGCGUUGGGGUGAUUGUGUACAUUAGGGAGGGAGGCCCGGAUCAUCUCCACUUUAUGGCUCUUUUUUUUAUUAUUUCAAUUUCCACUCAUAUCGUUGCCUUGUUAUUGCUGUGGCCGUCUUCGGGUGCUGGGGUCCGGACAGAAGCAGCUGUUCCUGCACACACCCAGCUAAUCGGCUUUUUGUGAUAAUGAGAGCUGAGCGCUGACACAGAGAACAGUUGAAUAAACCCGCAGCACUGUCAAUGUUAACCCCGCACACCGAUGCGCACUGCUCCUCAACGACCUUCAGCUCAGUCCAGGGCGCUGCUAGGAUCCUGAAAUACCGGGGGCUUAGCCCACCCUGCACGGAGUUCAGCAGAGGCAUCACUGGAUGAUAAAAUAAUCUGGACAUGUUGUGCCAGCUGGGUUUAAAGUGGGGGUUUUGAUAACUGUAGGUCAGAGUGGAACGUAAGAUGAUAAUAAAAAUAACUUUUUAAUUGGAAUAAGAGCAUGUGCUCUCAAAGCCUACUUUAUUAGGUACAUCUGUUUAAUUUUCUAACACAAAUGAGCCAAUCACCACAGCGGCCAACAAAUUGUGCCUUUGAGGUAAAGAUAACUUGCUGAAGUUUAAACUGAGCAUCAGAAUAACAAAGGAAGAGGGUUGAAGUGACGCAUCUUUAGUACCCAGGAAGCAGCAGAUUCCUUGAUCUCAGAGACUAUUCAGACUAGCAGCAUGUUGGCUGAACAGUGGCACAGUUGGUAGCCCUGUUGCCUUACAGCAAGAAGGUCAUGGGUUUGAUUCCCAGCUUGGGGUCUUUCUGCAUGGAGUUUGCAUGUUCUCCCUGUGCAUGCAUGGGUUCUAUCUGGGUACUCUGGCUUCCUCCCACGGUCCAAAAACAUGGCUGUCAGGUUAAAUGGUCUCUCUAAAUUCUCCUUGGGUGUGUAUGGUUGUUUGUCCUGUCUGUCUCUGUGCUGCCCUGGGACAUACUGGUGACCUGUCCAGAUGUACCCCGCCUCUCGCCCAAAACAUUUGCUGGAUAUAGGCACCAGUACCCAUCCCAACCCCACUAGGAACAAGGGUUUAAAGAAAAUGGAUAGAUGGAUUUUACUUUUGGACAGGUAUUAUGAUUCAUAACCAUGGCAAAAAAAUUUUUACAACUGGGAGCAGCAGAUUAGCAUCACCUGCACCGUCAGGGCCUGCAGCCUUGCCAGGGUGGAGUCUCACCAACUGUCUUCUUACAUCUUCGGCGGUGAUGUUUACUGUAGAAGUAGAGGUGACCGGCUGGGGGUGGGGGAUUGUCACUGAGUAUAAGAGGAGGGAAGAAGGUGUGAAGGUAAGAUGAAGGACUCUGAGGAGGGAGGGAUUGUUGGACAGCAGCAGUGGUGUUGACGGGAGUGUGAGCAGGAGGUGCAGGGGCCGCAGUGUUAAGUCUGUUGAAAAACAGGUUAAGUUCGUUGGCUCUAUCAACGUUGCCCUCAACCGCUCCACAGCCUGCUGAUCUGAACUCAGUGACAAUCCUCAUCCCUCUCCAGACCUUGCUGGUGUUUUUCUGCUGGAGUUUCCUCUCCAGCUUCCUUUUAUAAUAUUCCUUAGCUCUUCUGAUCUUCAACUUCAAGCACCUCUGAAUUAUUCUCACAUCAUCCCUGUUGCCAUUUCUGAAAGCCCUCUUCUUCUGGAUGGUCUAGAUCUCCUUUGUUACCCAGGGCUUAUUUGGGUAACAAUAAACAGUCUCAGUAGGGAUGAUGGAGUCAACACAGAAGUUAUAAUUAUAAUGUGUUAAGCACUCACUGAGCUCAUCGAUGUCCUCCAUAGAGAAGACUGCCAGUCAGUGGCCUCAAAACAUUCCUGUAGUGUCUCGGUGACCUCUUUUGACCACCUUCUUCUCACUGUCCUCGUUGUUGCAGGCUGUCUCUUCACUAGUGGUGUGUAACAUAGGCUCAGGGGCACCACGGUCCAUCCACAGUCCAAGUGGAGGGAGGGGAGAGGAACUGUAUGCAUCUUUUACAUAAGCAUACACUGCAAGCGAGCUACAGCAGAGUGGAUGAUGUGACAGGCCACCAUGGGAUUAGCAGAGGGAGGAAUGUAAACAGUCACCAUGACAACAUGAGAAUAUUCAUGGGGCAGGUAAAAUAGACGAAAACCAACCGCCAGCAGUUCAACAUCAGGGCAGCAGAUUCUCUCCUUGACAUUUAUAUGAGUAGGAUUGCACCAACAGGUGUUUACUAGAAUGGCAAGCCCCCCUCCUUUCCGCUUACAACUCUCAGUGCAAUCCCUCUCACCUCGAACAGUCCGGUAGCCCUCAAUGGAAACAUUGGCAUCAGGAAUGUCCGGGUGCAGCCAUGUGUCUGUAAAACACAUUAAAAUACAUUCCUGAUAUUCCUUCUGGCUCCUGGACAGUAAUGUUAAUUCAUCCAUCUUAUUAGCCAUCGAUCUAUUGUUGCCCAUGGUAAAGGAAGGGAGAAAUGGCUUGUAACUCUUCUCCAUAAGCCUCUGUUUCUUCCUUUUUGCUCUCCUCCACUGUUUGUUUCCUCCUCUGUAACCCCAAUGUGUCUUUCUCCAAAUCUCUGGGAUUUCAGUGGAUCUGGACUCCAUGCCGGCCAGUUUCAGUGCAAUCAGCUGAUCCCUGGUGUGAACAAUGCGGCCAAGUUGUUGCGCACGGCAGAGUUAAAAAAAAAAGUAUCUCAGCAUCGAAGAAAAAGAUAAUGACUUUCUUAGUCAACAUUGUUGAAGAUACUCUUCUGGUAAAGUGCAAAAAAAUUAAUGUUGUAAAAUAAAAUAAUCAAAUAAAUAUUUAAAAAAUAAAAUGAUGAGAGGAGUAACCACAACAGGCUGCAUACACGUUAGCACAUGCACACUACAAGUAUGAUAUGGGAACAUACCAUUAGGUGGAAACAAAGAGUGGGCCAGUGGCUCUUCAUCACUAUGAAGAGGAGAGUGUGACACAAAACCCAUAAUUAUAAAUGACACCUGUAAGAGAAGCAGCAUCUGGCUGAAGAGUAAACAUAUUAUAAAAUAAUUAAUUAUUAUGGGCAGUGGUAGCUUGUGAUGGACAGAGCAGUCGAAAGAGAGCCAGGCACAGGUUUAAAUAAAAAAAGAGUUGUUUUUUAUUUAAUCCAAAACGAAAACUUGGGAAAUAAUGAAAAAUGACAAAGUUGAGCCCAUAACAGAAGUAACAGAAUUCAACUCAGACUGAUUCAAACAAACAAACCUACCUAAAUGAGACAAAGGGGAAACUUAAAUACUGGCUGAUCAGGCCACAUAGAAGACACAAAGGGGAGAACACACAAAACCUAACUGAAGCUAACA